CCGUGAAGCUGGAUUCGCUAGUAAUCGCGCAUCAGCCAUGGCGCGGUGAAUACGUUCCCGGGCCUUGUACACACCGCCCGUCAAGCCAUGGGAGCCGGGGGUGCUUGAAGUGCGUCGCCGCAAGGCGCGCCCUAGAGCAAAACCGGUGACUGGGGCUAAGUCGUAACAAGGUAGC
rnacentral:rRNA from 1 species